UCACUCCCCGACACCUGCCAAGUUCGUUACAGUUAUAAGUAAUUAUUAAUUUCAUUAUUAUAAAGUUAGUGGCGCCCAACAAUGGGACCCAAAAUAAUUGGUAGAACCGCAUCUCGAUGUGGUCAACAAUAUCGCAGGAACACACAUCAAAAACACUUUCGAUUUUUCUGGCAAACUAGAUACUAUGUAGUGAGCUUGAGAAGAGAAGCAUAUACGUUGGUCCGCUUUUAUUCUCAAACUACGGUUGCUGCAGCAUCUGGGCCAGAAUAACGAGCUUCACAGUCAGCUAAAUUUUGCAAAUCAGUCGCAUAGGAGUUAUUGUUGAGAAGUUGCUAGCAGCGAUCGACAAGCCACGGCUGAAGACGUAGAGCUUAGUAGGCGAUUAAAUACCCUACAGUAAUGGAGUCCGUAGCCCAACUAGUUAGACGUUUGGAAAAGCAGGGAAGAAGUCUUUAGAUAAGUCUACCCUGACCACGGAUAACAAGUUUUGGCAAAGACCCAUCCACUUUCAGCAAUAGUAUGCGGCAGAGCUAGCCAUCAAACGCUUGGAAAGACAGAACAAUCUCUUUAUAAAGAGUUUGCCUGGCCACGGGUGAUGGAAAACCAGCAUACCUGUCCGCAGAAGCAAGAGUGCGAAGGAGAGUAAAGAAGACGAAACUGAUUAGCUUCGAUUUACUCGCACUUUAGCUUGCAGUCGUUGUUUUUGUCUUGCGGAUCGGCGCGCCAAAGCAACAAAACAUUUGGUUGUUGCGAGGGCUGAUUAGCACGGCACAAGUAGCGGGGAACUAAGCUAUGCUUGAAGGCAAAUAAAUGUUUUUGUAUUUCUUUAUAUAUUGCGGUUUUUACAAAAUAUUAUUUUUUAUUUAUAAUUUGUUUUAUGUUUUGUUUUCAACAAUAAACGCGUCUCAAUUCCUCAAGCGGCAAA